AUGAACGCUAGCUACAGGCUUAACACAUGCAAGUCGAGGGGAAACGGCAUCGACAGCUUGCUUUUGAUGGGCGUCGACCGGCGCACGGGUGAGUAACGCGUAUCCAACCUGCCCAUCACUUGGGAAUAACCUUGCGAAAGUAAGACUAAUGCCCAAUGACAUCCCACGAAGGCAUCCGAAUGGGAUUAAAGAUUUAUCGGUGAUGGAUGGGGAUGCGUCUGAUUAGCUUGUUGGCGGGGUGACGGCCCACCAAGGCAACGAUCAGUAGGGGUUCUGAGAGGAAGGUCCCCCACAUUGGAACUGAGACACGGUCCAAACUCCUACGGGAGGCAGCAGUGAGGAAUAUUGGUCAAUGGGCGAGAGCCUGAACCAGCCAAGUAGCGUGCAGGAUGACGGCCCUAUGGGUUGUAAACUGCUUUUAGAAGGGAAUAAAGUGGGUCACGUGUGACUUUUUGCAUGUACCUUAUGAAUAAGGACCGGCUAAUUCCGUG
rnacentral:rRNA from 1 species